GAGACUCCUCAAAUUUGGUGAUAGCAAAUUUCACCGCUAACUGAAAAUUUCGAUCGCCGGAACUUUAAUCCACCAGUGAAAAGCCGAGCCGCCGACACGUUUUAACCCGGCACGUGCGGCGCGAGUUGCGAUCCCCCCAAAUCAGGCAACACAAAAACCAAAGGAAAUCCAAUUUCACCGGUGAACUCCCUUUCCUUUGGCUCCAAAAGACGUUGAAGAAAAAUAAAAGAAAAAUCAGACGCUGAAAAACCCUAACCCUAAACCUAGAUUUUCUUCCAAUUAAUUUUCGAUGGCUAGCGACACCCCAGAUUCUCAUCGCCGAAAGCACCGUCGUUCUCCGUCCGACGACGAGGAAAUUGAUAAAUCCUCGAAGCGUCACAAGCAUCGCCACCACAAACACCGUCACCACCGCCACCGCAGCAAGAAGCACGAAGAUGAGGGCAAAGAUGGUGUCGAAGAUCCCCUCCCUCUUCCCCCUUCGGUUCCUCGACCUGAUGAUGACGUCGAGGAAGGAGAGAUUCUUGAUGAGGAACUGGCGGCUGAAAUCAAGGUCGUUGAAUCUCGUGAAGGCCUCGGUGUUCCCAAUCCGGGAGUUGGUGAAAAUAGUAAUUUUGUGGAUGAGCAAGUAAGGAAGAGUGGUGACAGCAGCGGUGAGAGGAAUCAAAAUCAGGUUGGUUUGUCUAGAAAUUUAAGUGUUGAGUCUCAAGGAGAAUUAGCCUAUAGAGUUGUCCCUGAUGGUCAUAUCAAUGGGGAUUUCCCUUCUAAAUAUAAUGUAGAGGAUGGAAGGCGGCAUCGGCAGUCUAGGUCGCCUUCAAGAAGUGGCAAGAAAAUAAGUUACCAUGAGGAUGUUGAAGAGGCUAAUGACACGAAGCCAAGUGACAUGAGAAAGUCAUUGUCCUCUGAAAGUUCUGGGGAAAAGUACAAGAAAUCAGCUAGCUCACCUUUUGAUUCGAGAGAUCACGAUUAUGCUAGGACUAGAUCUGAGUCAGAUGAUCUUGCUAGAGAAAGGUCACGUUCCCAAAGCAUUGUAGAUGAGGAGGCUCUUUUGAAAAGAAGCCGCCACCAUGAACGAGAUCCUAGUCGGGAUGGACGGCACAGUAGUAGAAACCGUGUAAGGGGUGAUGAUAGGGAACGAAGUGUCAGUUAUGGCAGAUAUGUAGGCGAAAAAAGGCAUCAGAGUAUGGAGACACGAGGUAGCGAAAGGAGCAGGGAGAGGGAGAUAGACAGGGAACGAAGAAGGGAGAAGGAGCAUGAAAGAAGCAGAGAGAGGGAGAUUGAUAUUGAAUGGAGAAGGGACCGGGACAAGGACAGAGAUAUUGAUGGUGAGAGGAGAAGGGAGAAAGAGCGAGCAAGGAGCAGAGAUAGAGACAUGAGUGGUGAAAGGAGAAGGGAGAAGGAGCGAGAAAGGAGUAGGGAUAGAGAACUGGAGGGUGAAAGGAGAAGGGAGAAGGAGCGAGGGAAAAGCAGGGAUAGGGAUCUAGAGAGUGGAAGGGUAAGGGAGAAGGUGCUUGAUAGGAGCUGGGAUAGGGAAUCGGAUAGAGAUAGGAACAGGAAGAAGGAAAGGGAUUGGAGCAGGGAUCGUAGUAAAGCUAAUGACAGAGAAAGAGAUAGGAAAAAGGAAAAAAAUGAAGAACGGAACCAAGAGCGAGAGAGGGAGAGGAGAAGUGACAGGAGUAGGGAUAAAGGGAGGGACAUGGAGAUUGAAAAUGAUGGCUAUAGUGAUCGAGAUAGGUAUAAGAAUUAUAAGCUCCCGAAACGGGAUGAAACUGAAACUUACCGGGACAGAAGGAAGAAUGAAACAGAAAAGGUUUAUGGUUCUAACAGUGAUCCAUUGGAAGGAGAUGCAGAUAAAAGAAAAAGAGAUGAAGAGGAGCAAGAUGAUUUUGAAGAAAGGAUUACAUUAAAACUUGCGGAACAAGAAGAGGAUGAACUCAGUAGGAUUAAAGAGGAAAGUAGGAAGCGAAGACAAGUCAUCUUAGAGAAAUAUAAGAAUCAGCAUUUACAGCAGCAGACUCUGUCUCAUUCAGAGGAUGUGAAUAAAGAUAAUGAGCCUGUAGAGAACCGUGGGCAAACAGUCGAUGGUGGUAACACUGGUCCAGAUGUUCUUGGUGGUGGACAUGGAGAUCUCAUUGUUGCUGACCCAUCACUGUCAGUUAGGAAGUCACCUCCAGAAAAUGGGCAUGCUGCUGCUGGGCUUGGUGAGGGUACCCCGAAGAGUGAGAGAUCAGAUGAUAUUUUCUGUGAUGAUAUAUUUGGGGAAACACCUACUGGAGUUCGUAAAUUGGGUAAAGGUGAUGGCUUGCUGGUUAUAAGGAGUGGUCUUCACGACAAUUGGGAUGAUGCAGAAGGAUAUUAUAGCUAUCGGUUUGGUGAGCUACUUGACAGCCGAUAUGAAGUGACUGCUGCUCAUGGCAAAGGUGUUUUUUCAACUGUUGUACGUGCAAAGGAUCUUAAGGCUGGUACUAGUGAUCCUGAAGAAGUGGCUAUAAAGAUCAUUCGUAAUAAUGAAACAAUGCACAAGGCUGGUCAGCUGGAGGUUCAAAUAUUGAAAAAAUUGGCAGGUGCAGAUCCAGACAAUAAGCGCCAUUGUGUUUGUUUUCUUUCAAGUUUCAAGUACAGGAAUCAUCUCUGUUUAGUUUUUGAGUCGCUUCAUAUGAACCUGCGUGAAGUUCUCAAAAAGUUUGGUCGCAAUAUUGGUCUUAAACUAACUGCUGUCAGAGCAUAUGCUAAGCAACUUUUUAUUGCGCUUAAGCAUCUCAAAAAUUGUGGUGUUCUUCAUUGUGAUAUAAAGCCUGAUAAUAUGCUGGUAAAUGAGGCAAAAAAUGUGCUGAAGCUUUGCGAUUUUGGUAAUGCCAUGUUUGCUGGUAAAAAUGAAAUUACACCAUAUCUUGUAAGCCGCUUUUAUCGUGCCCCAGAAAUAAUUCUUGGUUUGCCAUAUGAUCAUCCAAUGGAUAUAUGGUCUGUCGGUUGCUGUUUGUAUGAGCUUUAUACCGGAAAGGUUCUUUUCCCUGGUCCUACAAACAAUGACAUGCUACGCCUUCACAUGGAACUAAAAGGCCCUUUUCCGAAGAAGAUGCUGCGUAAGGGAGCAUUUGCAGAACAACACUUUGAUCAAGAUCUGAAUUUUCAUGCUACAGAAGAGGAUCCUGUUACUAAAAAGACUAUAAAGAGGAUGAUUCUUAACAUAAAGCCAAAAGAUAUCAAUUCAAUUAUUGUUGGCUUUCCUGGUGAGGAUCCCAAGAUGGUAGCCAACUUCAAAGACCUCCUAGAAAAAAUUUUUGUGUUGGAUCCAGAGAAGAGAAUGACAGUAACACAGGCAUUGGCUCAUCCAUUCAUCACGGGCAAGUGAAACAUGUUGCUGAUUUUAUGACUCCAGAAAUGUGUUGCGCUAGAUAUUUGUACAUUAUGACCUAACUGAUAUUUAGAUAUCUAAUCAUUGGGAAUUGUCUGUCUUUAUCUUCUCUGUGCUGGACUAAGAGCUUUGGACACAGUUUCUGGCGUGGUUGAAGUCAAAAGGGUGAUGUUUGGUCAGGAGUACACUUUACUGGCGAUUCUUUCAGUGGAAUGUACUUUUUCUAUUGAUAUCUGCUACAGCUUUGAGGCAACCCUCCAGUGCUUAAAUGCUUAAAAGGCACCCAGGAGAAGGAGUCAGCUUGAAGGGAAAGUCCAUCUCAGGUGUAAAACCUGUGCCUCCCACCUCUUGUAAGUAUUUUUCAAUAUCAUUAUCUCAGCAUUGUCUAUAUUGUGCGUUUUCAGGAAUGCUUGAGUGGUGUUCCUUACUUAAAUGUUCUGGAAACUUGGUGUGACUCAUGCUCUAAAAUCUGUCUUAUUAAUUCUCAAAGCCAGACUCAUCUCUCCAUAACUAGAGAUUUUAACUUUGUACCUGUCUUAUUUGCCCUCGAAUUCUCAUGAAUUGGCUGAGCUAGUUUAUUACUCAUGGCUGAAAAUCCUUCUGUAAAACUUAGGUGGUGUACCAAUAAAAUUAGUGCUGCAAAGUCACAAGAGGCUCACCUACUUAUUGUAGCUUUAUUCCUUGUAAGGUCUUAUUUUUUACUCAUUAGGCUUGGAGAGAUGAUCUGGUUUUAGUUUAUUGAUUUUAAUUUUAGUUCAUAAAUGAACAAGGAAAUGUGUCUUUCAAUUUUAUCAUCAUGUUUCUGGUGCUUGUUAAUUUUAGUCUAUGAUUUGUUCAAUCUUUUUCCAUUUGGGACCUUUUUAAUUUCAAAGGUUGUCAUUUAGAGUAUUAUUGAUGAGUUUUAAAGUGCGUGAUCUUCUUGAAUGUGUUGCUGGGGAUUUUUUCUAGCUUCUGGAAAAGCAACUUAGAAUCCUAAGAGCCUAAGGGCAAGAGAAUUCUCGAAUUGAAUGUAGAUGUCUUGCUGAGGCACUGUGGUGCACCUUAAGGGAAGGUAAUAAUAGUUAAGGUUCAAUUUGAUUGCUGAAAAGCUUUUUAAAACAAAGACUUUGUUUUUUCUGUUGCAAAAAAAAUUGAAAAGGAAAUUUUAUUUACAUAUUCCCUUUAUUUUCUUGUAAGGAACAGUAUUGCAAUAUAUUAUUAUUAUCUAGGAUUGCUAUACAAUCAGGUAUGCAUAUAGGGUUGUGAUGUGAUGGGUUGGUUAAUGCACACAGGCUGGCUUUUUGCGAGGCCCUCCCUAUUUCAAUGGAAAGGGGGAAUUGCCAUUUUCUUCUUUGUCACUUUAAUGGAGUCUAACGUUCAUUUCUUGUAUCCCUCUUUGAUUUCUUGUUCUUUAUUAUUUUUGUUUUCCUCUUUCCCUGUUUUUAUCUUCCUUGUCUUACCUGUGGUUUCUGUACCUUUUUUUUUAAAAAAAAAAUUAUUUUCUGUACUUUGUUGAUCUUGUAAACUUGUGAGAUGGAAGCUAAAUCUAUGAUGUGGAUUUUAAUUAGACAAUGGUGGUCCGGGUUGGCUGGAUGGGAAGCACUAUUUCUUUUUGUUCUGUAUGGUGCCUGAUAGUUUAGAUUGACCAGUGAGUACCGUGAUUUCCUGUUUCCAAUUAUAUGAUGAUAAUUCGUAUGACAUUGAUUUGCGUCUUUUACUAUUUUUAAGUUGAAUCCAAGUGUGAGUCCAUCAUUUCUUGUGUUACUUUAUGGUUUAAUAUGUUGAAAUGAUAAUUAAAAGUUUAGAGAACUGCACUAUUAAAAGUGUCAUUAUAUUGCCCUUGGUUUGAUUACAUGUUAUCGGGUGUCUGAUGGAUCAUUUGACUGUCAGUAUAAUCUUUUUAGGUGGGGUGGGUGUGGAAUCAGGAUACAUGGUGGGUGUAGGGUGGUUUUAGGUUAGUUUAAACUUUGAGAAGCAGCUUAGUUUAUAUUAGUUGGAGUUCUUGCUGCUGUGAGGUUGUGAUGUAUGCCAACCUGAAUGAGCUGAAAUUCAUCUCACCCUCGCAUUCAUGGCACUCUCCUUUGAGAAAAGGUUACUGAAUUGAUUAUCCUGUCAUUGUGGGUAAUUGCCUUUGUAUUGUUGCGUAUAAGUUUACAAUUUUGUACUUGUAUACGAUCUAGAUCAUUAAUAUCUUAUUAUUUUGAAAGCAAUAAUGGUGUUGUAAAUCAUACUGUUAGUAUGAGUUCAUCAGAAAUCAUACUGUCACGAUCCUAUUUUAUUGUUUGUUUGUUUGUUUUUUCUUAA